CUCCUCCUGCUCCUCCUCAGCGGUAACUCAGCUCCGUCGUUUAAUCUAAACUUUUGUAAAAAGUCCAGUAAAUCCAAGUUUACUUUAGUGUCUCUACGAAGAACACGAGAGUUUAAGAGGAGCUUUUUUAUUUUCGGUAAGAACGUGAGCUCAGUUUAUUUCCGGCCAGGCCUCAGGCAGCCACGUGGAGAGGACGACACGAUGGAGAAGAUGUGGAAGUCAGUGUGGCAGCUCCCUGCAAGAGCUGAACCCUCAUGAUGAAGUUGCCACGACAUGUCCAGGUCAGGAUGUGCCUGUUCAACAUCAUGGAGACUCUGAAGCUUAAAAACCUGAGCUUUCUUCAGACAUGGAGCCAGGACGCUGCUGUUAGCAGUGGGUUUAGUUGGUCCUGAAUGAGUCCCUGGAAAGAGAUUCAUCUGAAGGUGUGUGGCUGCAUCAUCACCUUCAUGGGAUCUUUUCCCCUGCAGCAGUGGACCUGAGCUCCCAGCUACAGCAGCCAAUGCAAGUUCCUGCAGGUUCAGUUCAUGUCCUGAAAGAGAAUCAUCUAAAGGUGUGCGGCUGCAUCAUCACUGCCUGGGGAUCUUUUGUCAUCCCACUGGUCUGAUCUGACGUCUGCCAAGCAGUGAAUUUGACAGAUCACGAGGAAUUGUGGGGAAAAUUGUCUGAAGAUGAACAUCAUUGUGUUUAUUCAAAAGCAUUACACUGUAAUAAAAAGUGCUCUGUAUUAAAUACAGUGUUAACAAAA